UGGCGGACGGGUAGAGUAAAGCAUCGGAACGUAUCCUGGAGUGGGGGAUAACGUAGCGAAAGUUACGCUAAUACCGCAUAUUCUGUGAGCAGGAAAGCAGGGGAUCGCAAGACCUUGCGCUCUGGGGAGCGGCCGAUGUCCGAUUAGCUAGUUGGUGGGGUAAAGGCCCACCAAGGCGACGAUCGGUAGCUGGUCUGAGAGGAUGAUCAGCCACACUGGGACUGAGACACGGCCCAGACUCCUACGGGAGGCAGCAGUGGGGAAUUUUGGACAAUGGGCGGAAGCCUGAUCCAGCCAUGCCGCGUGAGUGAAGAAGGCCUUCGGGUUGUAAAGCUCUUUCGGUGGGGAAGAAAUUGCACGGGUUAAUACCCUGUGUAGAUGACGGUACCCGACUAAGAAGCACCGGCUAACUACGUG
rnacentral:rRNA from 1 species